AUUGAACGCUGGCGGCAUGCCUUACACAUGCAAGUCGAACGGCAGCACGGGAGCAAUCCUGGUGGCGAGUGGCGAACGGGUGAGUAAUGUAUCGGAACGUGCCCAGUCGUGGGGGAUAACGCAGCGAAAGCUGUGCUAAUACCGCAUACGAUCCAUGGAUGAAAGCGGGGGAUCGCAAGACCUCGCGCGAUUGGAGCGGCCGAUAUCAGAUUAGCUAGUUGGUGGGGUAAAAGCUUACCAAGGCGACGAUCUGUAGCUGGUCUGAGAGGACGACCAGCCACACUGGAACUGAGACACGGUCCAGACUCCUACGGGAGGCAGCAGUGGGGAAUUUUGGACAAUGGGCGCAAGCCUGAUCCAGCAAUGCCGCGUGCAGGAUGAAGGCCUUCGGGUUGUAAACUGCUUUUGUACGGAGCGAAAAGGCUCUCUCUAAUACAGGGGGCUCAUGACGGUACCGUAAGAAUAAGCACCGGCUAACUACGUGCCAGCCGCCGCCGUAAUAC
rnacentral:rRNA from 1 species